AUACGGAGGAUGCAAGCGUUAUCCGGAUUUAUUGGGUUUAAAGGGUGCGUAGGCUGUUCGGAAAGUCAGGGGUGAAAGCCCGGCGCCUAACGCCGGAACUGCCUUUGAUACUUCCGAGCUGGAAUACGGAUGCCGUGGGAGGAAUGAGUAGUGUAGCGGUGAAAUGCAUAGAUAUGACGAAGAACACCGAUUGCGUAGGCAGCUGACCAGACCGCAAAUGACGCUCAUGCACGAAAGUGCGGGGAUCGAACAGGAUUAGAUACCCUGGUAGUCCGCACAGUAAACGAUGAAUACUUGUUUUCGGCGAUAUAAUGUCGGAGGCAAAGCGAAAGCGAUAAGUAUUCCACCUGGGGAGUACGCCGGCAACGGUGAAACUCAAAUGAAUUGACGGGG
rnacentral:rRNA from 1 species